rnacentral:rRNA from 1 species
UACGAAGGGGGCUAGCGUUGUUCGGAAUUACUGGGCGUAAAGCGCACGUAGGCGGACUAUUAAGUCAGGGGUGAAAUCCCGGGGCUCAACCCCGGAACUGCCUUUGAUACUGGUAGUCUCGAGUCCGGAAGAGGUGAGUGGAAUUCCGAGUGUAGAGGUGAAAUUCGUAGAUAUUGGGAAGAACACCGGUGGCGAAGGCGGCCAUCUGGACCGCAACUGACGCUGAGGCGCGAAAGCGUGGGGAGCAAACAGG